UACCAAUUCCCAAGUCUCAUUCUUAUUUAUGAUGUAAAUUUCAUCACCCAUUGCCCCCCUCCAUUCAUUGAAGUUUAUAGCCUCUUCAAAAGUGGCUGGUUCCACCCAAGUGAGGUAACAAGCCUCUUCCACUUGGUUUGCUUCACCCUCUUGUCUUUCCACUUCAUGAUAUAUUUCACUUAACUUUUUGACUUUAUGAAUUUGUCGAGAUGAACUACCUGCUGCAGAUUCACUUUCGCUUAAUUGAAAAGGAAUCAAAACAUGACAUAUGCACCCGAAUAUCUUGAGGUGUCCUAUUGAUGGUUUGUGUCCACACCAGACCUCCAAAGGUGUUUUUUGAUUCAAUGCUUUGGUGGGAAGUCUGUUUUGGAGGUAAGUGGCUGUGAAGAUAGCUUCUGCCCAGAAUUUGUCUGGCAUUCUCUUAUUCUUUAACAUACUUCUUGCCAUGUCCAGUAGAGUUCUGUUUCUACGCUCAGCAACUCCAUUCUGCUGAGGUGGCAAACGUCUCUGACUUCAUUUUCAGAAAAUACACCCACAACAUGUGCGAGUAAUCAUCUGUGAAGGUUGUGGAAUCCUGAGUGUCCAAGUCUUUUGUGCCACAACUCAGACAAGUUUUCUGCUUUGGCCAUUCUUACACUUUCUUCUGCUAACUGCAUACGCAACAGGUAAGCAUUUCUUACCAUCUCUACUUCAGCAAUCUUAUCCCCUCGUUCAUUGUGAAUGAUGCAUUUGUUAUCAACAAACAAAACCUGAUAGCCAUUUCUUGUCAUCUGUGGAACACUCAACAAGUUUUUAUCUAUCUCUGGAACAAGAAAAACAUCCUUGAUAACUCUUACUCCCUUCUUGAUCAUUACUUCUAUGUUCCCUUUUCCUGUAGUCAUCAGCCUAGCACCAUUUCCAAUUCUGAUGGGCACUUGAACAGAUCUGUCAAUUGUAGUGAAUAAUUUUUCCUCUUUGGUCAUAUGGUUGGUUGCACCACUGUCUAUCAGCCACGUUUCAUCACUGCUUGUUUGUUCUACAACAUGCGCAGCAUUGAACAGACAUUUUCCAUCUUCUGACUUUUGUUGUGUUUGCUUAACUUGUUUCGGUUUGCUUCUACAUUCUUUCGCAAAGUGCCCUGUUUUUCCACAAGCAAAACAGCCUUUCCUUGGUCUAAAUUGCUUGAAGGUGAAACGAGAAUCAUACCUUUGUGUAAGAUAACAAUCUUCUUCAUAGUGAUUGUGUUUGUUGCAUAUCCUACAAUACAUCAUCUUCUCAAUCUUCUUGCCUGGCAUUACAACCACGAUUCUUUGAGCAGGAGCUUCAGAUUUCAAGACCCCAAGAUCGACGUAGCUCUGAUACCAUGUUCAUUUAUUAGGUUUAGCCGCUUAUCACUCUCAAAAAGCUUAAACCACUUUUUCAUUGAUUUGAGCAUACACCUUACAUUAGAUAUAUAUACUACUCCCUUCAUGGUUUUGUAAUAUUCAAAAGACCCAUUAACACUUAUGGGCUAACCAAACAUAAAAGCCCAAAACUUUUAAUACACAAGAGUCUCUUUCUUCUUC